UACGAAGGGGGCGAGCGUUGUUCGGAAUUACUGGGCGUAAAGGGCGCGCAGGCGGCGCAUUUUGUCAGGCGUGAAAGCCCCGGGCUUAACCUGGGAACUGCGUUUGAUACGGAUGGGCUAGAGUUCGGGAGAGGAGAGUGGAAUUCCCAGUGUAGAGGUGAAAUUCGUAGAGAUCGGAAAGAACACCAACGGCGAAAGCACUCUGCUGGGCCGACACUGACACUGAGAGACGAAAGCUAGGGGAGCGAAUGGG
rnacentral:rRNA from 1 species